rnacentral:rRNA from 1 species
AUGGUCAUUUUGCAUCCACCCCCCGCCUCCUUUCUUUCCACAUCCAUCCAUCCAUCGAUCCCCUUCCAGAUCCCCCCAUCUCCUCACUGUCUUGCCCGAUCAAGAGAGCCCGCCUCCUCCCUUCCAGACCCAUCGCCGCCGCCGCCUCCCUCCGACGGAGCUCCCCGCCGUUCAUGGCCUCCCCCACGCCCUCCUCCUCUUGCCCCUCCCCUUCCCUCACCAGAAGGGAGAGAAGAACCCGAGGGAGGGAGAUCCAACGCAAUCCAGCCUCGGCCUCGCGCCUCGCCGGAGCAUCUCCACCGUCGACCGAAGUCCCGCAGGAUGCCCGAGGUCCUCCGCUCCGACCCACACCCCGGCGGCCUUGUCGACGUCGCCGCUGAAGUGAGCCACAGCCUCGAUGGAGGUCCGGCUUCCGGAUCCGAGCCGCGGACACCCACCCAUGGAGAAACGAAAAGAUCUUUGUUUCGUUUCGUUUCCGUCUGCUUCAGCUCCUGCUUUGUCGUUCACCCCCGCACGCACAAGCAGCAGGAAGAUGCAGUUCUUCGUCAAGACCUCACGGGGAAGACCAUCACCCUCGAGGUCGAGAGCAGACCAAAAUCCAGGGUCAUGAGGGAAGAUAUACCAUAUAUGUUCACACCUUGA